rnacentral:rRNA from 1 species
UUAGAGUUUGAUCAUGGCUCAGAGCGAACGCUGGCGGCAGGCUUAACACAUGCAAGUCGAGCGGGCGUAGCAAUACGUCAGCGGCAGACGGGUGAGUAACGCGUGGGAACGUACCUUUUGGUUCGGAACAACCCAGGGAAACUUGGGCUAAUACCGGAUAAGCCCUUACGGGGAAAGAUUUAUCGCCGAAAGAUCGGCCCGCGUCUGAUUAGCUAGUUGGUGAGGUAAUGGCUCACCAAGGCGACGAUCAGUAGCUGGUCUGAGAGGAUGAUCAGCCACAUUGGGACUGAGACACGGCCCAAACUCCUACGGGAGGCAGCAGUGGGGAAUAUUGGACAAUGGGGGCAACCCUGAUCCAGCCAUGCCGCGUGAGUGAUGAAGGCCCUAGGGUUGUAAAGCUCUUUUGUGCGGGAAGAUAAUGACGGUACCGCAAGAAUAAGCCCCGGCUAACUUCGUGCCAGCAGCCGCGGUAAUACGAAGGGGGCUAGCGUUGCUCGGAAUCACUGGGCGUAAAGGGUGCGUAGGCGGGUCUUUAAGUCAGGGGUGAAAUCCUGGAACUCAACUCCAGAACUGCCUUUGAUACUGAAGAUCUUGAGUCCGGGAGAGGUGAGUGGAACUGCGAGUGUAGAGGUGAAAUUCGUAGAUAUUCGCAAGAACACCAGUGGCGAAGGCGGCUCACUGGCCCGGUACUGACGCUGAGGCACGAAAGCGUGGGGAGCAAACAGGAUUAGAUACCCUGGUAGUCC